AUUAUGUAAAAUGACUCUCGGCAACGGAUAUCUCGGCUCUUGCAUCGAUGAAGAACGUAGCGAAAUGCGAUACUUGGUGUGAAUUGCAGAAUCCCGUGAACCAUCGAGUCUUUGAACGCAAGUUGCGCCCAAAGCCAUUAGGUUGAGGGCACNCCUGCCUGGGUGUCACAC
rnacentral:rRNA from 1 species